rnacentral:rRNA from 1 species
CCUACGGGUGGCAGCAGUGGGGAAUAUUGCGCAAUGGGCGAAAGCCUGACGCAGCGACGCCGCGUGAGGGAUGAAGGCCUUCGGAUCGUUAACCUUCGUCAGCAGGGAAGUACGGUCACUGUGCUAAUCAGCAGUGAAUUGACGGUACCUGCAAGGGAAGCACCGGCUAAAUCCGUGCCCGCCGCCGCGGUAAUAGGGAGGGUGCGAGCGUUAAUCGGAUUUACUGGGCGUAAAGGGAGCGUAGGCGGUAUGUCAAGUCAAGGGUGAAAGCCCCGGGCUCAACGUGAGAACUGCCUUUGAAACUGGCAAACUGGAGUGUGUGAGAGGAUAGUGGAAUUCGAGGUGUAGGAGUGAAAUCCGUAGAUAUCUGGAGGAACAUCGGUGGCGAAGGCGACUAUCUGGCACAUAACUGACGCUGAGGAGCGAAAGCGUGGGUAGCAAACAGGAUUAGAUACCCGAGUAGUC